rnacentral:rRNA from 1 species
UACGUAGGGUGCGAGCGUUGUCCGGAUUUACUGGGCGUAAAGGGCGCGUAGGCGGCGCGGUAAGUCACUUGUGAAAUCUCUGAGCUUAACUCAGAACGGCCAAGUGAUACUGCAGUGCUAGAGUGCAGAAAGGGCAAUCGGAAUUCUUGGUGUAGCGGUGAAAUGCGUAGAUAUCAAGAGGAACACCUGAGGCGAAGGCGGGUUGCUAGGCUGACACUGACGCUGAGUGCGCGAAAGCCAUGGGAGCAAACGGG